UUGAACGCUGGCGGCAGGCCUAACACAUGCAAGUCGAGCGGUAGCACAGAGAGCUUGCUCUCGGGUGACGAGCGGCGGACGGGUGAGUAAUGUCUGGGAAACUGCCUGAUGGAGGGGGAUAACUACUGGAAACGGUAGCUAAUACCGCAUAAUGUCGCAAGACCAAAGUGGGGGACCUUCGGGCCUCAUGCCAUCAGAUGUGCCCAGAUGGGAUUAGCUAGUAGGUGGGGUAACGGCUCACCUAGGCGACGAUCCCUAGCUGGUCUGAGAGGAUGACCAGCCACACUGGAACUGAGACACGGUCCAGACUCCUACGGGAGGCAGCAGUGGGGAAUAUUGCACAAUGGGCGCAAGCCUGAUGCAGCCAUGCCGCGUGUGUGAAGAAGGCCUUCGGGUUGUAAAGCACUUUCAGCGGGGAGGAAGGCGGUGAGGUUAAUAACCUCAUCGAUUGACGUUACCCGCAGAAGAAGCACCGGCUAACUCCGUGCCAGCAGCCGCGGUAAUACGGAGGGUGCAAGCGUUAAUCGGAAUUACUGGGCGUAAAGCGCACGCAGGCGGUCUGUCAAGUCGGAUGUGAAAUCCCCGGGCUCAACCUGGGAACUGCAUCUGAUACUGGCAAGCUUGAGUCUCGUAGAGGGGGGUAGAAUUCCAGGUGUAGCGGUGAAAUGCGUAGAGAUCUGGAGGAAUACCGGUGGCGAAGGCGGCCCCCUGGACAAAGACUGACGCUCAGGUGCGAAAGCGUGGGGAGCAAACAGGAUUAGAUACCCUGGUAGUCCACGCCGUAAACGAUGUCGAUUUGGAGGUUGUGCCCUUGAGGCGUGGCUUCCGGAGCUAACGCGUUAAAUCGACCGCCUGGGGAGUACGGCCGCAAGGUUAAAACUCAAAUGAAUUGACGGGGGCCCGCACAAGCGGUGGAGCAUGUGGUUUAAUUCGAUGCAACGCGAAGAACCUUACCUGGUCUUGACAUCCACAGAACUUUCCAGAGAUGGAUUGGUGCCUUCGGGAACUGUGAGACAGGUGCUGCAUGGCUGUCGUCAGCUCGUGUUGUGAAAUGUUGGGUUAAGUCCCGCAACGAGCGCAACCCUUAUCCUUUGUUGCCAGCGGUUAGGCCGGGAACUCAAAGGAGACUGCCAGUGAUAAACUGGAGGAAGGUGGGGAUGACGUCAAGUCAUCAUGGCCCUUACGACCAGGGCUACACACGUGCUACAAUGGCAUAUACAAAGAGAAGCGACCUCGCGAGAGCAAGCGGACCUCAUAAAGUAUGUCGUAGUCCGGAUUGGAGUCUGCAACUCGACUCCAUGAAGUCGGAAUCGCUAGUAAUCGUAGAUCAGAAUGCUACGGUGAAUACGUUCCCGGGCCUUGUACACACCGCCCGUCACACCAUGGGAGUGGGUUGCAAAAGAAGUAGGUAGCUUAACCUUCGGGAGGGCGCUUACCACUUUGUGAUUCAUGACUGGGGUG
rnacentral:rRNA from 1 species